AACUUUCGACAACGGAUCACUUGGCUCUCGCAUCGAUGAAGAACGCAGCGAAAUGCGAUACGUAAUGAGAAUUGCAGAAUUCAGUGAAUCAUCGAAUCUUUGAACGCACCUUGCGCCCCUUGGAAUUCCGAGGGGCACACCCGUUUGAGUGUCGUGAACAUCCUUCAACCUUUCUUGGUUUCUUGACCGGGGAAGGCUUGGACUUUGGGGGUCUUUCAUUGCUGGCCUCUUUGAAGCCAGCUCCUCCUAAAUGGAUUAGUGUGGUCUGCUUUGCCGAUCCUUGACGUGAUAAGAUGUUUCUACGUCUUGGGUUUCGCACUGUCGCUUUAGACCCCGCUUCUAACCGUCUUGCAUUCAAGACAGAGUUUUAAACCUUGACCUCAAAUCGGGUGAGACUACCCGCUGAACUUAAGCAUAUCAAUAAGCGGAGGCU
rnacentral:misc_RNA from 1 species